CUGUGCAGCUGUUCCACAGCUGCUGGCCCUCCGGUCACCCCCCACCCCCAUCACUUCCCUGUUGAAGGGGGCUCAGGGAGAGUUGAAAGGUGCUACAUCAAUGCACAACAUUUCCUCUCCUGUCCCCUCAGCUGUGCAGCUCAGCUGUGUGUCCUCUGGCACCUACAAAAUCAAACACCUGCCAUCCAGAUGUUUGUACCUACAGGCUGGAGAAGCUGGCUACAGCAAGUCCUUUAGAAUGGAGACAGGUAUUUAGUGGAGGGCAAGAUUUAAUGGAAUUCUUGGCCUGAAAAGACUUGGGCUUUCUACCUUGCUACUUGAUAUCAAGAAUUUUCAUGGCUAAGCUUUCUCUUCACUGGACUACAGGGGCAACUUCGAAAGCAAUAUGCUGAUAUGGAUAAGCAACUAGAUCCCUGAGUUAUUGGUUGAAGGAAAACUCCUACCAAGCCACCUUGGACUGCUAGUCAGUGAAAAUUUAAUUUUUGUUGUGUUAAGACACCAAGGUUAGGAGUUGGCCUGUGCCAACCACCAGCAAUAAUUAUCCUAAUAGGUUGGUGUUAGGCUAGUUGUUUCCAGGAAAAGUAUUCUAGCAAGCAACAGCUAUUCUUCAGAAUAGGCUGAUGGAAGCCUGUUUCUGCCUAGUCUUGCACAGUCUCCACAAGUUUUCACAAGCAUCCUUUGUGGGAGCCUGGAGUACUAACCAAUCCCUAAAGGACAUCUCUGGAUUGCUGAGGUCCCUGCAGCUUGAUGAUUGGAAAGUAACUUCCUCAAUGUCCAGGGAGCUCUUACUGAAUCUACCAAUAUUCUGGCUACAUAGGCACAACCAGUGGAUCUGACUGCAUUGAUUCAGUCAACAAAUGUUUACUAUGUACUUAUAAAGGUCCAGACAGUCUUCUGGGAGCUGGCAUGUAUAGUGGCAUUUCACCUCUUUCAUGGUCCUGCUCCCAUCCUCCCAAGAUGGCAAUUAUAUAACAUGAUGGAAAGCACAUACUCAGGAACUGAGCUAGGUACCGGACCACAUCAAGGACCUCCUCCAACUCCUCAAGAACCCAUCAGAUAAGAAUUCUUCUCUUGCUCUUAUAGAUAAGGAGCCUGACUUACAGAGAGCCUCCCGGUGACAAGGCCAGGAAGUGCAGAGACUUCUCAGCUCCAGACUCCCUAUCUUCUGUACUCUUUUUGCUAUACAUGGAUAUUUCAAGAUUCCUUCCCAAAUUAGUCACACGAGAUUCUCAGGAUGUUCUCUCCAUGGUCAAGUUCAUCCAGUAGGCAGAGAACUUUCUUACUAGUCACAGGACAGCUGAUUCAGAUUCUGGCCCAAGAAUCAUGAAAUCCAGACUGCAUCGUCGUGAUCUCAUGAGAAAACAUUUCAUACACUCUUUGUCCGUGGCCACAUAACUAGCUCUGGAACCUGACUGCGUACACACCCCCUGCCUCUCCUUAUGAUGCAUUCACUGAAGGGUCUUCCUGAGCAUCAUCUUUUACUAAUCACCACAAACAGAAUUCUAUUUGGUGGAAGAAACUAAAGAGGCUAAGGAAUCUGCUCACACCCCUAGAAUCACUGAGGAACAGAGCUGGGUGCAAAUCUGAGCACCCCAGUUCUAAGACCUGUGCUUGAACCUGAUCAUUGGAGAGUUCCCCCCUUCUGAGGACCUACACAUUACCUGACAGGGUUCCCGCCUACUUACAUUCUGUUCUGUUGCUUAUUACUUCAGAGCACACUACCCGUCAAACAUGGUGCCAUAGGAUUUGCUUUCUCAAUUCUGAGAGUGAGAAAUCAGAGAGGGCACAUUGGGAAUGACUCUUCCUUCUCCAUGAUGUCUCGGGCUUCAGCUGGGAUGGCACAGAUGGCUGCAGAUUGGAAGAGCCAGGCUGGGGGAUCCACUUCCAAGAUGGCCUCUUCACUCCCAGAUCUGGUGCCUUGACUGGGAUGGCUGUCACCUGGGGCAUCGACUAAUGUCUUCUUUUAGUCAUGUUGGUGACACAGAGGGAAUUCUUACAUGGAGACUCAGGGCUCCAAGAGUGAGUGCCCCAGUGAAAGUGGAACUUCAUCCCUUUACAACUAGCCUUGGACAUCACCUAGCCUCCCUUUUGCUAGCCACUACUAGCCCAGAUGUCUCAGACUCACUCAUAGCUAAGGGGAGGGGACACUUCCACCUCUCAGUAGAGGACUGUCAAAGCCCUGGGUGUUAUAUGCAAUGGAUAAAUAACUGAA